GAUGAGCUGUGUGGGGGUAGAUAGCUAGAGAGAUGGACAGACAGACAGAUCAAUGAUUCUGGAGGGUUUCUGUCAGCACCCCCUUGUGACUCUGUUUCUCCCUGAAGCCUGGAUGCUCCCCAGUGCCCCCACAGUGACACUUCACAUCCUGCCCCCCUGCCCAAGCCCAGGAGCAAGUGACACUGUCACCUUGCUCUGUUCCACCAGCGGCUACUACCCCGGGGGCCUGCAGCUGACCUGGCAGGCAGGUGGGAAGGAGAGAGAGGGCACCCAGCUCAGACUCCUCCAGGGGAAAGAUGGAAGAUUCAGCUCCUUCAGCAACCUGACGAUGUCCCAGGCAGAGUGGGACGAGCCGGGGGAGUACAGCUGCCAUGUGACCCACCCUUGGACCGGUAGCCCCCAGCUCAGUACUAUCAGCAAGUGUGCAGCCUGUCAGGGGAGCAUCCCCCUGCCCAACCUGUAGCUCCUCAAGCCAUCCCUGCAAGCCUUGCUCACUCGAGGCAAAGCCCUCCUGACUUGCCUGGCAGUGGGCUAUGACCUGGGCCAAGCAAAACUCACCAGGGAGCUGGACAGUGCCAUCUGGACUGCAAGUGCACCGUGGGAGAAGCCAAAAAACACAGCAACCAUACCCAGAGUCUCCUGAGCCACCUAGCCAUCCCCAGGGAAACCUGGGCCUCUGGGAGCAGCAUUCUCUGUAGAGUGACUCAUCCCUGCUCGCUGUUCCAGGGCAUGGAGAAGACCAUCCAGAAGCUCAGGGGUGAGAGAAGGAGAAGAGACUCAAACAAUAAUCAGUGACUUUGCCUAAUGCUUUAUAGGGGGUAGGGACCUGGACACCUCCCA